rnacentral:rRNA from 1 species
UACGGAGGAGGCAAGCGUUAUCCGGAAUUAUUGGGCGUAAAGCGUCCGUAGGUGGUUUAGUAAGUCUGCUGUCAAAGCGCGGGGCUUAACUCCGUAAAGGCAGUGGAAACUACUAGACUUGAGUGCGGUAGGGGUAGAGGGAAUUCCCAGUGUAGCGGUGAAAUGCGUAGAUAUUGGGAAGAACACCGGUGGCGAAAGCGCUCUACUGGGCCGUAACUGACACUGAUGGACGAAAGCUAGGGGAGCGAAA